UACGAAGGUCCCAAGCGUUGUUCGGAUUCACUGGGCGUAAAGGGUGCGCAGGUGGUUUGGCAAGUUUGGCGUGAAAGCUUCGGGCUUAACCCGGAAAUGGCGUUGAAAACUGCUGAACUGGAGGAUCGGAGGGGGGACUGGAAUUCUUGGUGUAGCAGUGAAAUGCGUAGAUAUCUGGAGGAACACCGGUGGCGAAGGCGGCAUCCUGGACCGGCAUUGACGCUGAGGCGCGAAAGCUAGGGGAGCAAACGGG
rnacentral:rRNA from 1 species